rnacentral:rRNA from 1 species
UAGUAACGGCGAGUGAAGCGGCAACAGCUCAAAUUUGAAAUCUGGCUCCUUCGGGGUCCGAAUUGUAAUUUGUAGAGAGUGCUUCGGGCGAGACCUCGGUCUAAGUCCAUUGGAACAUGGUGUCAUAGAGGGUGAGAAUCCCGUAUGCGACCGUGGCUCGAGCCCAUGUGAAGCCUCUUCGACGAGUCGAGUUGUUUGGGAAUGCAGCUCAAAAUGGGUGGUAAAUUUCAUCUAAAGCUAAAUAUUGGCUGGAGACCGAUAGCGCACAAGUAGAGUGAUCGAAAGAUGAAAAGCACUUUGGAAAGAGAGUCAAACAGUACGUGAAAUUGUUGAAAGGGAAGCGCUUGCAACCAGACCUGCCCGUAGGCGAUCAGCCGCUGUUCUCAGCGGUGUACUCGCUCUGCGAUCAGGCCAGCAUCGGUUUCGGCGGUCGGAUAAAGGCCUUGGGAAUGUAGCUUCCCUUCGGGGGAGUCUUAUAGCCCUCGGUGUAAUGCGGCCAGCCGGGACCGAGGACCGCGCUUCGGCUAGGAUGCUGGCGUAAUGGUUGUAAGCGACCCGUCUUGAAACACGGACCAAGGAGUCUAACAUCUAUGCGAGUGUUUGGGUGUCAAACCCAUACGCGGAAUGAAAGUGAACGGAGGUGAGAACCCUUAAGGGCGCAUCAUCGACCGAUCCAGAUGUCUUCGGAUGGAUUUGAGUAUGAGCAUAGCUGUUGGGACCCGAAAGAUGGUGAACUAUGCCUGAAUAGGGUGAAGCCAGAGGAAACUCUGGUGGAGGCUCGCAGCGGUUCUGACGUGCAAAUCGAUCGUCAAAUUUGGGUAUAGGGGCGAAAGACUAAUC